UAAGUGCUCUUUUGAGUCCAAUGAUCGUGGGCUGAUUUCUUGUAGGUUGUGCUCAUCAGAGAUGGUGGUAGCACAAAAAUGUUGCCCAGAAGACUUCAGAUAAUUCUCUUGAAAAUGCAGGUCAUCUUUCCAAACUGCUGGUUGCAAAAUGUUUCAAAAUGAUGUGAUUCAUGUCAUCAUACGUGGCGCCCUCAGAUGGUUGCUCAAACAAGCUUGACAAGUCUAACCUAGGGACCGACAUCUCCUCCUUCGCAGCUGUGUUGGGUUGACUCUCCUGCAUCCUUGCCCCCACCAGCAAUCAACACUUAGAUCCCGUCAACGGUGACUCCCGUCUUUCCUUCAGCUGUACUGUCCCUGGACGAGCCAGAGACGGAAACCCGUGAAAGUGCUUCGAGAUUUGCGCCCACAAAAUCCAACUACAAUUCUACCACUUGUGAUGAGGAAUUGAAGUGCAUGUGUAAUGGAACAAGUCGAGAUAUUCAUGUGUAUAUGUACUGUACAUUACAUGAUAGCAACGGUGUUUGGACUUUUGGGUACAUCCGCAGGCUUCACAGCUAUUUCUUGAUAUGCCCUGUAAUUCUAUGAGUAGCAGUUGGAUGUGCUGUGGGAUAGUGAAUAUGGUUUCUCGUUCGGCAUUGUCCUGUUGUUUGAUGAUACAAUUAGGGAUCAAGGGAUAAAUGGAACUAUUUUAUGAUGACCAUGAAUCA
rnacentral:sRNA from 1 species